AGAGGCUCCCUAGUGGGGCGUUUCCUCCCUGACUUGUGGGGCCACUCUCUCGGAGUGGCCCCCCUUUUUCAGUGGG
rnacentral:sRNA from 1 species